rnacentral:tRNA from 1 species
GGAUGUAGCUCAGUUGGCUAGAGCGCUUGCAUGGCAUGCAAGAGGUCGUCGGUUCGAGACCGAUCUUCUCCA